rnacentral:tRNA from 1 species
UGUAGCUCAGUGGCACAGCAUUUGCCUGGCAAGCAUGAGGUCCUGAGUUCAAUUCCCAGUA